CGCUUUAGCCGCAGCCGCUGCUGCCGCCGCCGGGGGAGAGGCAGCCUAUUGUCUUUCUCCGCGGCGAAGGUGAGGAGCUGUCUCGGCUCGGCCCGCGGGGGAGCCCCGGGAGCCGCACGGAGAUGGAGGAGGACAUCUGGACAGUGAGCAGGAGGCGCCUCGGCCCAUGCCGAACAUCCCAGGGGACCUGGAGAGCCGGGAGGCCAUGGUGGCAUUUUUCAACUCCGCUGGAGCCAGUGCCCAGGAGGAACAAAGGGUGUGCUGCCAGCCCCUGGCUCACCCAGUGGCCUCGUCCCAGAAGAAGCCAGAGGUAGCGGCCCCAGCCCCAGAGAGUGGGGGUGAGUCUGUGUUUGGGGAGACCCACCGGGCCCUGCAGGGGGCCAUGGAGAAGCUGCAGGAAAGUACAUCAGCCAGGGGGCAGUGUCAGAGACGCAGCACUGGGAGAGGAGGACAUCGUCAGGCUGGCCCAGGACCAGGAGGAGAUGAAGGUGAACCUGCAGGAGCUGCGGGGCAGGUGUUGCAGCUUGUGGGCGACCACAAGGAGGGGCAUGGCAAAUUUUGACCAUUGCCCAGAACCCUGCUGAUGAGCCCACUCUAGGAGCCCCAGUAGCCCAGGAGCUUGGGUGUGCUGACGAGCAGGGUGGUGAGUAGAGCCCUCAGGUGGGGUGGGCAGGCAGGAGCAGGGGAGGCUCGCACUGUGCUCAGAUUCCCACCCCCCUCCCUCUCUCUGAAGAUCUUUGUGAGGUGAGCCUCACUGAUAGCGUGGAGGCUGCACCAGGAGAGGACAGGGAGGGUUCUCCCCACGACAACCCCACUGCACAGCAGAUCCAGCAGCUGCUUCCUGUAAUGCAGGACUCCCCAGGAGCACCCAGGCAUGGGCAGCAACCCCUGCAUGCCAUUCUUUUUGGGCUCCCGAGAACAGGGAGAUAAACACCACCAUCAUCUGAGAGCCGGGAAGGGGAAGGCGUAGGUGUGGGCGUGGCAAGGUUCCUGGAAAAGAGGGGCUGGAAGGGAAAGGGGAGGAAGAUGGAGGGAGAAGCUAGAGCUUCAUAGGUAGUGCCUGGGGGCUGUGGCAGCCCUCCCCACCCCACACACACUGGCCUCUCUCAUGGCACCCAGGCAGUCCACCCACAGUUCAGACCAAUGCUCAACCCCCCCGGCUUCCCUCUUCUGUGGUCACCCCAUCUUCCAACCCACUGGCCCAGGGCCACCUCUUGCUUGGGGAGCCCCACCCAACAGCCACCAAGCCUGACAGAAGGAACACUGCUUGAACCAAAAUGGUGAAGCUAUAAGGGAUGGCGGGCUGGAGUGAGCGCCAGAGGCCCCUCUCUGGGCAGUCAGAAAGCCCAGGGUCCACUGAAGGGACCCUGGGGAAGGCAGGGAGGGCAGGUAGCUAGAUGCCACUGCCCGUAGACUUAUAAGUCUAAGAGGGGAGCCUCAACUGGUUGGCGGGGGGCUGCAGGUUGCAUAGGUGAGGCUGGGCCCUUCCUGCUGGGAAAAGCAGAAGAGGGAGACUCCGUGGCAGGAAAGGCAGGUGGGCUCGCUAGGCGGAGCUCAGCUGGGCCAGCAAGCACUGUGGUCUCCUUGGCUGAAUAGCACAGGUGACCCCUAGGAGCAACAGGCCAAGGUCCGUGAGUCUGCUGGCUGGCAGUAGUGCUUCAGUAGCGCUGGCCAGGGACCCAGCCUUCAGUCACACGCUAGCAGCUGUGAUGGUACCUGGGAAGGAGGGAAGGGGGCUGUGUGUCCUUGCAUGGCCUAUGAAGUGUGUUGUGGGAUAACCGUGUGUAUUGAACUCUCAGGCUUUUAUCCUAGAUCACCACUGGAUUGCUGACAGAUAGAGGAGGUGGGACCCUGACUAUCACCCCUAAUCUGCAGUGGAUUUGGCUCUCGGCACUCCCAGGCUGGGAGCUGGAUACCUGCCCUGGCAGCAUGGCUCAGACUGCAUGACAGUCACAGACUCGCCUCUGCUCCUGUGGUCCAGUGGCCGGACACCCCCUGGGAUGGCUCAAAGGAGUCAGGACUUGGAAGUGGGGACAUCAGGGUAGCUGAAGGAAAUCCACACACCCAGAGCAUCUCGGAGUUCAGACUCUCAGACCUGAAGUAGGCGCCCCCGGGACUGGGCUAGGAGUUGGACGGAAUGGAGGAUGGAGGACAGCGAGAAGAAAGGAAGAGAAAUGCAAAGUGUGGGCAGCCGCCAAGAGUGAAAAUAGAGGGAAGUGUCAUGCAAGUGCUGGACAGAAGGCGGCAGGUGGGACGAGCCCCACAGCCCCCUCCUCAAAAACGACCACCUCCAGGACUCAGUGAUCCCUGGGGGGCAGGCUCUGCCAGCCCUCGCUGCCUUGCUGGGCCCUUCUGGGACUGUGCGCUGGACUUGGAGCCCCUUGGAGUAUGGCUUUUCACACGGGCUUCUAUACCGCUUCGACUGGAAGAUCCACCUCCCCACUGCCUUUUCUCACUCAGAUGGGGACACCGAGGUCCAGAGGAAAAGACACCUGUCAAAUGUCACAGAUCUGGGAGGGGACUUAAGACCUAUCAUGCCAAGAGG
rnacentral:lncRNA from 1 species